AUUUGCAAUCCUUUUUUCGUUAGUGAAAACUAAACAUUGUGAAGUAUUAUCGUUAAUAAAAAAAUAAAUAUAAAAUGUGUGAGUGAUUGAUCGAAGAAGUUGAUUGGAAUAAUAUGAAUUUGUAAUCAUGAUGUUAUCUCCAACAAGCUUGAAACGAAAAAGUAUGUUCAAAAGAAAAAAAAGAUGGAGAAAAAUGAAGAAAAAGAAACUAGCAAGCUAAUUUUACGUGGACGUGUUUCCACGAUGGUAUACAGGAACGCCCUCAGAGAAUAAAUGAAAGAGCAGAAACGAUGGAUUACCCUUUUGGAUGUAAUUGAUCACGAAGACAAUGGAUUCCUGUAUUUAUUGACGACAUCGUCGGUCUCAGGUUUGGGUAUCGACGGCAGGUGAAAGCAAGGCAGAAUAUACAUUCCUCCACGGUGUCCAGCCUCUAGUAGUGCUUUUUUCCGUGUAAUUACUUUAAUAAUUCGUAUCGACUUCCACUGGGAACUCCUUUCGCUGGACACGCAAGUUGGCUCGUUUCUUGGUCUCUAUAUUUGCUAAGUAUACACAACUAUCGAUUGAACGUAGAAUUUAGGACAACUUCGUUUACUUUUCCUUACCGGAUAUUUGUUGGAAGGUCGCAUUUAUAAUUACGUGUAAUUAGAAUCUUGUGUGAUGAACUUCCAUUUUCUUCGUUACCUUGCUUGAAGCAGAAAAAGAAGAACACAAUUUGUCGCUACUCCAGGGAAACACUAAGGGAAGUAAUGAAAUUAUAGAGGAUUCUCGCCGGAUGGCAAACAUGACCGAGAAAUUCUCGAAAGACUUGGCUCGAUCAUUUUCAGAAACAUUAUUGGUUCAAAGAUAUUAUUACGAGAAAAAAUAACCCUGUUUAUUUUUUAUUUUUAAAUUUAAUUGUUGUUUAAUGCAAUGUCGAGCAAUCGUUGUAAUUAUCCUAACCUCAAAAAUAUCCAUAAAUUUCCUACAUAUAUUUUCUAUCUCAAUUAAAAUGCACUAAAUGUAACAAAGAGAGAGGUAUUCGCGAAGAAUCUUAGUUUAAUUUAAGUAAUAUCGUAGCGUGAAGUUAA